rnacentral:lncRNA from 1 species
AAAGAAACAGCACUAACAAAGUUUAGACCCAUAAAUUUUGAAGGUCUAGCUACCAUAUUAUUACCCACAAGGGUAAAGGAACAGUACCACUGCUGGAUAAUUGGACAGUCCCUGUGUGUCAACCUCUGUGCUUCGUGGCAAGGUAGACUAGCAAACAUGCCCAACCUUUACUCACAUUCGAGAAAACACUCCCAAUAAGAUUGCUUGCUCCAAAAUCGAAGAGGCACCGUCCUCCGAAUCUCGAGAGCCAGACUCCCAACAUGACUACUUUCUUAAAAAUCGAAGAGAGGGUAAAGGAACAAUACCAUUGCUGGAUAAUUGGAAAGUCCCUGUGUGUCAACCUCUGUGCUUCGUGGCAAGGUAGACUAGCAAACAUGCCCAACCUUUACUCACAUUCGAGAAAACACUCCCAACAAGAUUGCUUGCUCCAAAAAUCGAAGAGGCACCGCCCUCCGAAUCUCGAGAGCCAGACUCCCAACAUGAUUACUUUCUCAAAAAUCGAAGAGACACUGCUCCCCG